AAGUGGUAACAAGGUUUCCAGCAGUCAGUGUCGGAAAGUGUUAUUGAUUGUGCAAGGAUAGCGCUUCUACGAUUCCUGUAGACCGUACACUCGGGCAGGAGCUUUGCCAAGGGUCCCCAUGCUCCCUAAUAACCCCAUAGUUUAAUGUGAAGCUCAAUGUAAUACAUUGGGUAAACAAACCGAACAACUGUUAACAAUGGAUAUCUUGGUUCUC
rnacentral:misc_RNA from 1 species